rfam:Macaca mulatta chromosome 12, whole genome shotgun sequence.
UAGUGUUACAGCUCUUUUAGAAUUUGUCUAGUGGGGCUUUUGGUUUUUGCUGGAAAGUCCCCU